GGCCGGCGCGGAGCGGGCCGCGGGAGAGCCGGCCGGCGCGCGCGAUGGCGCAAGCUCUAGAAGCCCGAUGUGAUUCAUGUCUGCAGGUGACGGCUGUGUGUUCCUGUGUCAUCCCCUCCAAGCACUUGAGACAUUUUGUAAUUGGACCUUUGUCUACUUGUUUGUCAGAAGGAAGCUGCCUCAGAAGGCAAGAGGGAGACGUUCCGUACUGCAGACAU